GGAACCCUAAACUAAGACAAACACCAGUCAGAGUGCCGCAGAGAGAACAGAAAGAUGCAAGCAGAUUCCUAAUACCAUGUAUUCCCUGAUGGUCACUUCAUUACUUGUGACGGUGCAUCAUCCAUUGUGACACCAUAGGUACUGUGUUCCAAUAAGACUUCUAAAGGUCAUUGCUGUGCUUCGUUGAAGACACCACAAUUGCAUCAUGAGCAGCAUGGACGAGCAUCACAACACCCUGUACGAGGCAGUUCGGGAGGUCCUGCAUGGGAACUACUGCAAGCGCUGAAAGUUUCUGGAGAUUGUGGAGCUUCAGAUCAGCCUGAAGAACUAUGACCCUCAGAAGGACAAAUGCUUCUUAGGCACCGUCAGGAUUAAGUCUACUCUCCGCCCCAAGUUCUCCAUGUGUGUUCUGGGAGAUAAGCAACUUUGUGAUGAGGCCAAGGCUGUGGAUGUCCUGCACAUGGACACUGAGGCACUGAAGAAACUCAGCAAGAAUAAGAAACUGGUCAAGAAGCUGGCCAAGAAGUAAGAUGCCUUUUUGGCUUCAGAGGCUCUAUUCAAGCAGAUUCCAGGGAUCCUGGGCCCUGGCCUGAAUAAGGCUGGCAAGUUCCCUUCCUUGACCCACAAUGAGGAUAUGGUGGCCAAAGUUGAUGAAGUGAAGUCCACGAUCAAGUUCCAGAUGAAGAAGUGUGGUGUCUGGCAGUGGCUGUUGGCCACAUGAAGAUGACAAAUGAUGAGCUGGUGUACAGCACCCACUUAGCUCUCAACUUCCUGGUGUCAUUGCUCAAGAAAAAUUGGCAGAACAUCUGGACUUUGUACAUUAAGGACACCAUGAACAAGCCCCUGCACCUGUACUGAGGAUCAGGUCAAUAAACCAUCUGCCGCCAUUUAAAAAAAAAAAAAGAAGAAGAAAAAAGAAUUGAUCAGGAAAUAGGCUGUCUCUGUCUGCUUUUUCCUUUCCAUGAAGCCAUCUUAGGAUGUAGUCUUCCAAACUCAUCACUGUUGCCUCAGGGUUUCAGAAUGGCUGCUGCACCCCUGCAUUGCCUCCACAUUCUAUAAAAAGGUGGAAGCCAGUCAAGUCUCUCCUCCAUUGAGUGCCUUUCUGAGAAGCCCCAACUUGUGACUUUCAUUUCUUUCUCUUGACCAGAACUGUGUUAUCUGACCACCCCACUCAAUGUAAGAAAGACUGGGAGAUA
rnacentral:lncRNA from 1 species